rnacentral:rRNA from 1 species
UACAGAGGGUGCAAGCGUUUUGUUCGGAAUUAUUGGGCGUAAAAGGGAGUGUAGGCGGCCAACUAAGUUUUUCUGUGAAGCUACGGGCUUAACCCGUUAAAGUGCAGAGAAUACUGGUAGGCUUGAGUGUCGGAGAGGAUAGUGGAAUUCCCGGUGUAGAGGUGAAAUUCGUAGAGAUCGGGAGGAACACCAGUGGCGAAGGCGACUAUCUGGCUGACAACUGACGCUGAGACUCGAAAGCAUGGGGAGCAAACAGG